rfam:Monodelphis domestica chromosome 3, whole genome shotgun sequence.
CGCGAUGACGGGUAUUCUUGGGUAGAUAAUACCAAUGGCGCUGUUAUUGCUUGAGAAUACACGUAGUCGAG